UACGAGAGCCUCGAGCGUUAUCCGGAAUUCUUGGGCGUAAAGGGUGCGUAGGUUGUUCUGUUAGUCUUUUGUCAAAGCCCCGGGCUUAACCUGGGAUAUGCAAAAGAAACGGCAGGACUUGAAAGUGCGAGAGGCGUACGGAACUCAUGGUGUAGGGGUGAAAUCCGUUGAUAUCAUGGGGAACACCAAAUGCGAAGGCAGUACGCUGGCGCAUAUUUGACACUGAAGCACGAAAGCGUGGGUAGCGAAUGGG
rnacentral:rRNA from 1 species